rnacentral:misc_RNA from 1 species
GGUAGUAAAAGUCGUAACAAGGUCUCCGUAGGUGAACCUGCGGAGGGAUCAUUACAGAGUUCAUGCCCUACCGGGUAGAUCUCCCACCCUAUGUUAUUAUUACUUUGUUGCUUUGGCGGGCCGUUAGGCUCCGGCCCGACUACCGGCCCCGGCUGGUAAGCGCCCGCCAGAGGACCCAAAACCCUGAAUAUUAGUGUCGUCUGAGUACUAUAUAAUAGUUAAAACUUUCAACAACGGAUCUCUUGGUUCUG